AGUAAAGGGUUUUUUCUUUCUUGAGCCUGCAUAACUGACUCCUCAACCAGCAUGUCCGUCUUUUGAUUCAGUUUGAAAACCAGCACAGUACCCGUACAGACCCAACACCACUAAGGCAUAGAUACGGAACUACUUCAAGACAUACGAGGACAUGGCCACAGACACUGUGUUCAGCAGCUCUUGAAAAAGCUCCUGCACGUUGUAGUUCAUUU